CAGUCGAGCGGAAACGAGUUAUCUGAACCUUCGGGGGACGAUAACGGCGUCGAGCGGCGGACGGGUGAGUAAUGCCUAGGAAAUUGCCCUGAUGUGGGGGAUAACCAUUGGAAACGAUGGCUAAUACCGCAUGAUGCCUACGGGCCAAAGAGGGGGACCUUCGGGCCUCUCGCGUCAGGAUAUGCCUAGGUGGGAUUAGCUAGUUGGUGAGGUAAGGGCUCACCAAGGCGACGAUCCCUAGCUGGUCUGAGAGGAUGAUCAGCCACACUGGAACUGAGACACGGUCCAGACUCCUACGGGAGGCAGCAGUGGGGAAUAUUGCACAAUGGGCGCAAGCCUGAUGCAGCCAUGCCGCGUGUGUGAAGAAGGCCUUCGGGUUGUAAAGCACUUUCAGUCGUGAGGAAGGUGGUGUAGUUAAUAGCUGCAUCAUUUGACGUUAGCGACAGAAGAAGCACCGGCUAACUCCGUGCCAGCA
rnacentral:rRNA from 1 species